rnacentral:lncRNA from 1 species
CAUGCCUUCUUUUUCAACUUUUUUGCCUUCUUCAAAUCAUCCUUUGUGUAAGGCCCCUGAAAAGGAGUGCUCAGAUGUUAUCAGCCCAUAGAGUCGAGUCUACUUAUGUGGAUCAGAUCCUUUUUACUGUUUUGAACUUUAAUAUGUAAAAUCAAAUAUUUUCAAAAAAAUGGUCGAAAUGCGGUCAAGAAUGCGUUCGCAGAUCAGAUAUGCAGACCGCAUUCCAAUCGCAUAGUGAAUCAGAGAGCAACCAAUUUUUGAUCUUGAAAAUGCGGUCAAAUCUGCGAUCGCAUAAUCAAUAUGCGGACCACAGAGUAAUCGCAUAUUGUCCCUGAGGAUUGAAGGUCAGUUUCUGCGGUGCAUUCUGCGACCGCAAAACUCAAAUGCGGAUCGCAUAUUCACCGCAUUCCCAACCCGAGAGGUUUGAAAUUUGAGCCAUUUCUGCAGUUCAUUCUGCGGACCGCAUGUAUGUUCUGCGAUCGAAGAGUUGCGUCGCAGAUUAAUCUUGCCCAGUUAUUUUUCUAAAAAUCUAAGCCCGACCCCACUUUAAUAAAAAUACUCCAUCCCUCAUUUUAACCCAUUUUCUGAACAAUAUAAGAGAGAGGAAGAGAGGGUCCUAGAGAGAGAAAGCAAAUUCUUCAUCAAUUGAUCUUUCAAAACCANNNNNNNNNNNNNNNNNNNNNNNNNNNNNNNNNNNNNNNNNNNNNNNNNNNNNNNNNNNNNNNNNNNNNNNNNNNNNNNNNNNNNNNNNNNNNNNNNNNNNNNNNNNNNNNNNNNNNNNNNNNNNNNNNNNNNNNNNNNNNNNNNNNNNNNNNNNNNNNNNNNNNNNCAUUUGUUGAACAAAAUAACAGAGGGGAAGAGAGGUUCCUAGAGAUAGGAAGUAAAUUCUUCAUCAAUUGGUCUUUCAAAAUCAUUGGAGCUUGGAAAAUUCUUGGUGCAUUGUCUUCUCUAUUGACUUCUCAGGUAAAAUCCCUAACCCAUUUUCCCCAAAUUUUGAAAUUAAGCUUGGGAAGGGAACCCCAUACACUUUCUUUGAAUUUUCUUCAUAAAAUCUCAUGCAUGGCUUCAAAACUCAAAAAUCUUGUAAAAAGGGAAUUGGGUAGUGACUAUGAGUUUAAAUUUCUAAAACCUAAGUGUUGUUCAUGAGCUAGAUUGACUUCUUGAUUGCUUGGAAAAUCGGACUAGAGGUUUAAAAGUGAAUAAUCAACUCCAAGUAUGUAUGGCUAACUGUGAUCCUUGUGAAAUCGCCCUAUGCUAGUUGUGAAAUUGUUGAUAGAUGAUAUUCAUGUGAGAAUCAUUGUGAAGCUUUUGUGUGGUAUAAUUGUGUGGUAUCACUAUGUUUUGAAUGUUGUGGAACUUUUAAUUGGAACAAUGGAAAUGGAACAAUGUGGAACAAUGGAAAUGGGAAUAAUGUUGAAUAGUGGAAAUGGAAAUAUUGUGGAACAACGUGUAUGAUUAGUUGUGAAUAACUGUUUUGAUGAUCUAAAUUGUGUACCAAUUUGAUGAGUAUGGGGAAAUUGUUUUUGCUAGUUGUGGAAUUGCAUUACCCUUGUUGUGGAUCCAUGUUAACAAUGUGUCAUAGUUGAUUUCUUGUAUUUGUUGAUGUGCUGUUUGUUGUUGUGAAUUGAAAACUGUCAGGCNNNNNNNNNNNNNNNNNNNNNNNNNNNNNNNNNNNNNNNNNNNNNNNNNNNNNNNNNNNNNNNNNNNNNNNNNNNNNNNNNNNNNNNNNNNNNNNNNNNNNNNNNNNNNNNNNNNNNNNNNNNNNNNNNNNNGGCCGAGGUAAUAAGGGUGGACGAGGCAAUAAGGGUGGAAAGUGUGAUCCAAUAUCACUACUGAUAUGAAUAUGAAUCAUGAAAUGAUAAACGUGGAAAUGUGAAAGGAGACAGCAUGAGAGUUUGUAACUUGUGGGGCACUGAUUGCUCCUUUGUAUGACUACUUGAAUCAAUUUUUGUGAGAUGUUUGGUUGUUGCUCCAUGGUUGUAAUUGUACUAUUGUUGUUCAGUUCUAUGUUUGUAUAUGUAUUUUGGCUUGAGUUCACUUGGGACAGAGUUUGUUCAUGCAUGCCAGUACAAUUCAAAUGUACUGACGUCCCUUUUGCCGGGGGCGCUACAUUCGUGUUAUUAUUGUAGGUGGAUCUGUGGUAGGCACUCCAGUCCACCGUUCGUAGCUCCUCCUUCUCUCUAGCAGCGAUAUUCGUGUUGGUGAGCCCUUUUUCUUCUGGGGCUUUGUGUUGCCCAUGCCACCUAUGUUGUUGUAUUUUGGAAGUUCUUGUGUAUUUUUUUCUAAAGGUAUAGCCGGGGCCUUGUCGCCGGCAAGUGUUGUACUAUCUCUCUUUUAGAGGCUCCGUAGACAGUGGUAUGUGGGUUAGAACUUAUGUCUGAAGGUGUAUGUAUUGGGCGCAGUAAACUUGUAUAUCACGUUCCCUGUUAAUCAUAAUGCAUGUUUUGUAAAAGAUGUUCCCUGUUAAUCAUAAUGUGUGUUAAUAAAAGAGAAAUCAUAUGUUCUUUCAGUUGCAAAGAGGGUAUAUUUUGGCUAAUUAUCAUUGAAUGAAGUGGGGUAACACGUGGGAAAUAUAAAUCAUAUGUUCUUAGUUGCAAAUAGAAUAUCUUUUGGCUAAUUAUCAUUGAAUGAUGUGGGGUAAUGCGUGGGGAAUACGAAAGGCACCCAGGUCCACUCGACUGGGGAUACCCGGUUGAGUUCCGGUCAUGCCCCCUGAUUUGGGGCGUGACAAACAUGGUAUCAGAGCCUAAGGUUUUAAAGGAGUCCUAGGAUGUCUCGGAGCCGUGCCUAGUAGAGCUAGGGCAUGACAAACAUGGUAUCAGAGCCUAAGGUUUUAAAGAUGAGUCCUAGGAUGUCUCGGAACCGUGCCUAGUAGAGCCUUUCUUAUCAGUGUGUUGUCGACCACAUCUAUAAGUUGGGGGCUACACGGGCAUUUAGGAAAAAUGAUCUUCUUCUUUGUUAUUCCAACAUCGUGCGAUGAAGUGAUGUUGUAUCUAAUUCAUGCUUUAUUUCAAAAUUUCAGUGAUGGCACCCAAGAAGAAUACUAGACUUGGCCUAGGGGCCAAUGCCACUUCCAGUGCGGCUGUUGGUCAUGUGCCGACUGCCGUGGGUGAGAGUGAUUCCCUCGUUCUGAAUUUGCCUGCUCCAUCCGUUCCUGAUACAAGCAAUCAUGUUCUAGUAGCGGCCGAGGGUGCUACUAUCCCUCCUGCCAAUGCUCCUAAUCCUGAUGUAUCUCUAGUUUCUGAUUUCGGGAUUUCUGAUGGAGAUCUUAGGGGAGAUAUCCGUAUGUUGACUCAGUUAGGGGCCGCCCAGGCUUAGAGAUCUCAUGAUGCCCCUGUGUCCUCUAGCGGACAGGGAGAUUCCUCCAGCUCCAGAGUUCAUCCGUUUUUGCGAUUGAAUCCUCUAGAGUUCUCAGGCACAGAUCUAGAAGCCGAUCCGCAAAAAUUCCUUGAUGAGAUGUACAAGACCCUUCGAGUGAUGAAGGCUACAGAAAUAGAGAGGGUAGAAUUGGCUUCAUACAAGUUAAAGGGGCUGCGCAUUCGUGGUUCGAGAUGUGGGAGGAAAUAACUCAUGGGAUGCCUUCAUGGACGACUUCUUUCCUGCCGAGACCAUGGCAGCCCGUGCCAUCGAGAUUGAGGUUCUUAAGCAGGGUAGUAUGAGUGUUUGGGAGUAUCAUAUGGAGUUCGUGAGGUUGUCUAAGUAUACUCCUCAGUUGGUGUCGACUAUGUAGGCCAGAGUUCGGCGGUCCGUUCAGGGACUCAACCCUUUAGUGGUAAAUGAGGCUGCUACAACGGCUUUGCAUUCAGACAUGAACUAUGGAAAGAUCGUGGGUUUUGCUCAGGCCAUAUAGGCCAGGAAGUUGAAGAUUUGAUCAGACAGAGAGAGUAGCAACAGGGCCCGGUCUAUGGGUCACUCAGGGUGGUCAGCUCCAGGGAGAGGGUAAUCAGGACCAUCUCAGUCUUAUGCUGAGUCCUCAGCUAGCGCACCACCAUCUGUGCAUCGUUUCCAGCAGAGUAGCCCUUUGGGGCCAGGUUCAGACAGCAGGAGGUCCUGCCAGUUCAGUCAUUCGGGGAUGAGACCUCGACAACAAGGAGGAAUAUGUCCCAAGUGUAGGAGAUUUCAUACAGAGGCUUGUUACUUGGAUGCUCUAGUGUGUUGCAAUUGUGAGGUGAGAGAUCACAUACAGUGGGACUGCCGUGCGCCCAGACAGGGCACGGGCAGGGGACUUUCUCAGCCAUCUAGUUCAUUAGGUUCUACGUCAUCAGUGUGCCCUCCAACCCUAGCAAGGCGUGGUGCAGCCAGAGGUGGAGCUCGUGGUAGGGGCGGACCCAGCAGGUUUUAUGCAUUGAGUGGCCGUCGGAGUGUUGAGGCUUCCCCAGAUGUUGUCACAGGUAUCAUAUCUAUUCAGACCUUCGAUUGCUGUGCUCUUAUUGAUCCGGGGUCUUCUUUGUCCUAUGUCACUCCAUUUGUUGCUUCGAGUUUUGGGAUUGAACCCGAACAACUUCUUGAGCCGUUCUCUGUAUCGACUCCAGUUGGUGAUCCUAUUACAGCCGCGCGGGUCCAUAGGAAUUUUGUUGAUAUGGUAGGUGGUCGUGUUGCCACGGCUGGUCUUAUCGAGCUUGGGAUGGUGGAUUUUGAUGUAAUCAUGGGGAUGGAUUGGCUCUAUUCGUGCUUUACUAAACUUGAUUGGCGGACGAGAGCCAUGAGGCUCGACUUCCUUAAUGAGCCGGUUGUUGAGUGGAAGGGAAAUGGUACUGUGCUGAAGGGUAGGUUUUUUUUUCUACCUCAAGGCUUCGAAGAUGAUCAGAAAGGGGUGCAUUUAUCAUUUAGUCUGGGUGGCGGAUACUACUCCAAAAGUUCCUGCCCCCGAGUCUGUGCCAGUUAUGAAUGAGUUUCUUGAGGUAUUUCCAGAUGAGCUUCCAGGAAUUCCACAAGAUAUAGAGAUCAUUAUUUUGGGAUUGAUGUGUUGCCAGAUACCCAGCCAAUAUCCAUUCCACUGUACAUAAUGGUGCCAGCAUUGUUGCGGGAGUUAAAAGAGCAGCUGAAGGCAGAUAGGGAGAUUGAUUUCGGGAUUGAUGUAUUGCCGGAUACCCAGCCAAUAUCUAUUCCGCCGUACAGAAUGUCGCCAACAGAGUUGCGAGAGUUGAAAGAGCAGUUGAGGGAUCUAUAGGACAAGGGGUUUAUCCGCCCAAGUUUGUCGCCAUGGGGUGCUCCGGUUCUUUUUGUCAGAAAGAAGGAUGGGUCACUUCGGAUGUGUAUCGAAUAUCGGCAGCUUAAUAAAGUCACAAUAAAAAAUAAUACCGUUUACCUCGGAUAGAUGAUUUGUUCGAUCAAUUGCAAGGUGCAAGGUUCUUCUCCAAAAUUAACUUGCGGUCCGCGUACCACCAAUUGAAGAUCAUGGAGCAGGAUAUUCCUAAGACCGCUUUCAGAACACGUUAUGGCCACUUUGAAUUCUUGGUCAUGUCUUUUGGGAUAACUAAUGCCCAGGCAACUUUUAUGGAUCUUAUGAAUCGGGUCUUCAAGUCAUUUUUAGACUCAUUCGUGAUUGUUUUAAUUAACUACAUCCUCGUAUAUUCGCGGAGCAAACCAACGCCCCGACAGCUUUUAUGGAUCUUAUGAAUCGGGAAUUCAAGUCAUUUUUAGACUCCUUCGUGAUUGUUUUCAUUGACGACAUUCGCAUAUAUUCGCGGAGCAGGUAGAAUCAUGCCAGCCACCUUAGCGCGGUUUCGCAGACUCUGCAUCAGCACCAAUUGUAUGCCAAGUUUUCCAAAUGUGAAUUUUGGUUGGAGUCCGUCGCUUUACUGGUCAUGUUGUUUCCAGUGAGGGGAUUGAGAAUCCCCCAAAAGAUUGCAGCAGUGAAGGAUUGGCCUAGGCCCACGAACCCGACGGAGAUCCGUAUCUUCUUGGGGUUAGCAUGGUAUUAUCGGAGGUUUGUAGAGGGAUUCUCCACCUUCGCCUCUCCUUUGACUAAAUUGACGCAUAAAUCAGCUAAAUUCCAGUGGUCAGAUGCUUAUGAGAAAAGUUUUCAAGAAUUGAAGACAAGGUUGACUUCGGUACCAGUAUUGGCCUUGCUAGAGGGCACAGAGGGGUUUAUGGUUUAUUGUGAUGCCUCCAGGGUUGGUUUAGGGCGUGUUCUGAUGCAGCACAGGAAGGUUAUAGCAUAUGCUUCCAGGCAACUCAUGAAUCAUGAGAAGAAUUAUCCGACGCAUGAUUUGGAGCUUGCAGCAGUUGUGUUCGCCUAGAAAAUAUGGCGACAUUAUCUUUAUGGGGUUCGUGUAGAUGUGUUUUCAUAUCAUAUGAGUCUUCAAUAUUUAUUCCAGCAGAAGGAUCUAAAUUUGAGGCAGAGGCGGUGGUUAGAAUUUCUUAAGGAUUAUGAUAUGUACAUCUUGUACCAUCCAUGGAAGGUGAACGUGGUGGCUGAUGCCCUCAGUCGGAAAUCCAUGGGUAGCUUGGCUCACUUGAGAGCGGAUCAAAGGUUCCUUGCUCGGGAGGUGUAUCAGUUGGCCGGCCUUGGGGUUUGUAUCUCGGCCCCGAAUGAGGAGGAACUCAUGGUGCAUAAUACAGCAGAAUUGUCGCUCGUGGCAGAGGUUAAAGAAAAGCAGUUUGUUGAUCCAACAUUGGCACAAUUGAAGGGACCAGCUCUAAGUAACAAAAUUUCAGCAUUCUCGCUCGGUAUCAGCGAUGAUGUACUACGGUGCCAUGGCAGGUUGGUUGUCUCAGAUGUGGAUAAUUUUCGGGAGAGGGUAAUGGCGGAGGCUCAUCAUUCUAGAUAUUCAGUGCACCCAGGAUCUACAAAGAUGUAUCACGAUCUCAAGGAUAUCUAUUAGUGGAGUUAUAUGAAGAAGAGUGUAGCAGACUUUGUCUCUAAGUUUCUGAAUUACCAGUAAGUGAAUGCCGAGCAUCAGCGGCCGGGAGAGUUGACUCAGCUUAUAGAAAUACCAAUGUGGAAGUGGGAAAUGAUUAAUAUGGACUUCGUGACAGGACUAUCUCGUACUCAGCACAAGUUCGACUCAAUCUGGGUAGUUGUGGAUAGGCUCACCAAAUCAGCUCACUUUUUUGCCAGUCAAGUCCACCGAUACUGCGGAACAAUAUGCUCGGUUGUAUAUCAAGAAGAUAGUGAGGCUUCAUGGUACUCCACUUUCUAUUAUUUCGGAUUGAAGAGCUCAGUUUACAGCUAAGUUCUGGAGGAAAUUUCAGCAGGGUUUGGGUACUCAAGUGAAUCUCAGCACAACUUUUCAUCCGCAGACCGAUGGCCAAGCAGAGUGGACUAUUUAGACGCUCGAGGAUAUGUUGCGGGCAUGUGUCUUGGAUUUCAAAGGUAAUUGGGAUGAUCACUUGCCCCUUAUAUAGUUUGCUUAUAAUUAUAUCUUCCAUGCUAGCAUCCAAAUGGCCCCAUUCGAAGCAUUGUACGGAAGAAGGUGUAGGUCCCCGAUCGGGAGGUUCGAGGUUGGUGAAGCGGAAUUAUUAGGGCCAUAUCUCAUGCACCGAGCCAUGGAGAAGGAAAGAGUCAUUCAGGAGAGAAUGAAGACUGCUCAAAGUCGCCAGAAACCCUAUGUGGACGCGCAUCGAAGAGAAUUGACGUUUCAAGAAGAAGAUUGGGUAUUCUUGAGGGUGUCCCCUAUGAAGGGAGUCAUGCGCUUUGGGGAGUGGACUAUUUAGACGCUCGAGGAUAUGUUGCGGGCAUGUGUCUUGGAUUUCAAAGGUAAUUGGGAUGAUCACUUGCCCCUUAUAUAGUUUGCUUAUAAUUAUAUCUUCCAUGCUAGCAUCCAAAUGGCCCCAUUCGAAGCAUUGUACGGAAGAAGGUGUAGGUCCCCGUUUCAAGAAGGAGAUUGGGUAUUCUUGAGGGUGUCCCCUAUGAAGGGAGUCAUGCGCUUUGGAAAGAAGGAAAACUAAUUCCUAGGUAUGUCGGGCCUUAUCAAGUCAUUCAAAGGAUCGGUCAAGUUGCAUAUAGUUUGGAAUUGCCCCUGAAAUGUCCAUAGUGCACCAGGUGUUUCACGUAUCCAUGUUGAGGAAAGUUGUGGGUGAUCCAUCUAAGAUUGUUCCAGUUGAAGACAUCAAGGUUACGGAAGAGUUAUCAUAUGAAGAGAUUCCGGUUGCUAUUCUGGACAGGCAAGUCCGAAUGUUGCGAAACAAGGAGAUUGCUUCAGUUAAGGUGUUGUGGCGAAACAAACAAGUCGAGGAAGCCACGUGGGAAGUCAAAGUUGCGGAACAAGUAAAUUGCUUCAGUUAAGGUUUUGUGGAGAAACCAACAAGUCGAGGAAGCCACGUGGGAAGAGGAAGAUGAGAUGAAGAUAAAAUACCCCCAUCUAUUUGAAUAAGAUCAUAAAUGAUCGUGCGAAUCUUGCCCCUUAUGAAGGUUAGUGUUUGUUUGCAUUAGAUGUAAGAAUCAUCCUUUCUCUCUCCAAGUUCCUUAUUGUUGUAGUUUCUCCAAGUUGUGCCAACCACGUUUAUGUGUUGUAACUAAUUGAGCAAUGUGUAGUCCUUUUUGGUAAUGAAAUUUUCGUGUUCCCAUGGUAAGGUGAUGUAUGGAAGUAAUAACUAAUUUUGCAUGGAGACUGUGUAUCAAAGUGUUCUAAUUGUGCAAUCAUUAGUUUUGCAUGGAGGAAUUAUAUUGAAAUAAAUAACUGCAUCGUACCCUUGUGAUAGGUGAAUGUCUUUAAUAAGUACAGGUGAUUAGUGCUUAAUUUGAUUUCAAGUAGUGUGCCAAAAUGGUUGAAAAGUGUAUCGAGAGGUUGAAUAUCUGCAAGUGUGAGGAUUAUGCAUUUUACAACUGUUGUAAAGGUAGAAGGAUUGUGUAGUAAUGCUUGGGAAUGUGUUUUGGGGAUUCUUUGACAGGUGGUUAUGUCCAUAUUACAAAGGAAACUCUGGCAAAAUAUUUUUUCUAAAACAAACUUGAAAGUGAAUAUAAGUGUAGAAACUUGCAUAUCAUGUUUUCAAACUCAUUUGGUUCCCAAGUCCUCAUUUGAGGACGGAUGAUCUUAAGCGGGGGAGGAUGUAAGGCUCCGUGAAAAGGAUUGCUUAGAUGUUAGCAGCCCAUAGAUUCGAGUUUACCUAUGUGGAUCGGAUCUUUUUUUACUGUUUUGAGCUUAAAAAUGUGAAAUUUUUCCAGAAAAUAGUCAAAAUGCGGUCGAGAAUGCGGUCGCAGAUCAGCUAUGUGAACCGCAUUCCUACCGCAGAGUGUAUCAGAGAGCAACCAAUUUUUUAUCUUGAAAAUGCGAUCAAAUGUGCGAUCGCAUAAUCAAUAUGCGGACCGCAGAGUGAUCGCAUAUUUUCCCUAAGGAAAUUCGAAGGUCAGUUCUGCAGUGCAUUCUGCGACCGCAGAACUCAAAUGCGGACCGCAUAUUCACCGCAUUCCCAACCCGAGAGGUUUGAAGUUUGAUCCAUUUCUGCGGACCGCAUGUCUGUUCUACGAUUGCAAAGUUUCAUCGUAGAUUGAGCUCGCCCAGUUAUUUUUCUAAAAAUAUAAGCUCGACCCCUCUUUAAUAAAUACACCCUAUCCCUCAUUUUUAACCCAUUUUCUGAAAAAUAUAAGAGAGAGGAAGAGAUGGUCCUAUAGAGAGAAAGCAAAUUCUUCAUCAAUUGGUCUUUCAAAAUCAUUGGAGCUUGGAUAAUUCUUGGUGCAUUGUCUUCUCUAUUGACUUCUCAGGUAAAACCCCUAACCCAUUUCCCCCAAAUUUCGAAAUUAAGCUUGGAAAGGGAACCUCAUACACUUGCUUUGAAUUAUAAUCAUAAAAUUUCAUGCAUGGCUUCAAAACUCAAAAAUCUUGUAAAAAGGGAAUUGGGUAGUAACUAUGAGUUUAAAAUCUUUAUGCAUGGCUUCAAAACUCAAAAAUCUUGUAAAAAGGGAAUUAUGUAGUAACUAUGAGUUUAAAUUUCUAAAACCUAAGUGUUAUUCAUGAACUAGAUUGGCUUCUUGAUUGCUUGGCAAACCGGACUAAAGGUUUAAAAGGAAAUAAUCAACUCCAGGUAUGUAUGGCUAACUGUGAUCCUUGUGAAAUCCCCCUAUGCUAGUUGUGAAUUGUUGAUAACCGAUAUUCAUGUGAGAAUCAUUGUGAAGCUUUUCUGUGGUAUAAUUGUGUGGUAUCACUAUGUGGUGAAUGUUGUGGAACUUGUAAUUGGAAUAAUGGAAAUGGAACAAUGUGGAACGAUGGAAAUGAGAAUAAUGUGGAAUAGUGGAAAUGGAAAUAUUGUGAAACAACGUGUGUGAUUAGUUGUGAAUAACUGUUGUGAUCAUCUAAAUUGUGUACCAAUUUGAUGAACAUGAGGAAAUUGUUGUUGCUAGUUCAUUCAGAAAAUUAACCCAUUUUAUGAACAAUAUAAGAGAGAGGAAUAGCCCUCCUAGAGAGAGAAAGCAAAUUCUUCAUCAAUUGGUCUUUCAAAAUCAUUGGAGCUUGGAAAAUUCUUGGUGCAUUGUCUUCUCUAUUGAAUUCUGAGGUAAAAUCCCUAACUCAUUUCCCCCCAAAUUUUGAAAUAAAGCUUGGGAAGGGAACCCCAUACACUUGCUUUGAAUUUUCCUCAUAAAAUCUUCAUGCAUGGCUUCAAAACUCAAAAAUCUUGUAAAAAGGGAAUUGGGUAGUANNNNNNNNNNNNNNNNNNNNNNNNNNNNNNNNNNNNNNNNNNNNNNNNNNNNNNNNNNNNUAAAAAGGGAAUUGGGUAGUAACUAUGAGUUUAAAUUUCUAAAACCUAAGUGUUGUUCAUGAACUAGAUUGACUUCUUGAUUGCUUGGAAAAUCGCACUAGAGGUUUAAUAGGGAAUAAUCAACUCUAGGUAUGUAUGGCUAACUGUGAUCCUUGUGAAAUCGCCUUAUACUAGUUGUGAAAAUGUUGGUAGCUGAUAUUCAUGUGAGAAUCAUUUUGAAGCUUUUGUGUGGUAUAAUUGUGUGGUAUCACUAUAUGGUGAAUGUUGUGGAACUUGUAAUUUGAACAAUUGAAAUGGAACAAUGUGGAACAAUCGAAAUGGGAAUAAUGUGGAAUAGUGGAAAUGGAAAUAUUGUGGAACAACGUGUGUGAUUAGUUAAUGUGGAACAAUGGAAAUGGAAACAAUGGAAAUGGGAAAAAUGUGAAACAAUGGAAAUGGAAAUAUUGUGGAUAACGUUUGUGAUUAGUUGUGAAUAACUGUUAUGAUGAUCUAAAUUGUGUACCAAUUUGAUGAACAUGAGGAAAUUGUUGUUGCUGGUUGUGGAAUUGCAUUAUCCUUGUUGUGGAUCCAUGUUAACAAUGUGCCAUAGUUGAUUUCUUGUAUUUGUUGAUGUGUUGUUUGUUGUUGUGAAUUGAAAACUGUCAGGCGGGGUUGGGUUUGUUAGAAAAUACACUUAACGCUAGAGGGGGGGGGGGGGAAUAGCGUUAUAAUAAAAAAUAGCGUAAACUUGCGGAAUUUAAAAAUUGCAGGAAUGAAAUAAGUGCGAUAAGUAAAUAAUAAAGAACGAACGCACCGAAUAAGGGUGGACGAGGCAAUAAGGGUGGAAAAAUGUGAUCCAAUAUCACUAUUGAUAUGAAUAUGAAUCACGAAAUGAUAAAUGUGGAAAUGUGAAAGGAGACAGCAUAUGAGUUUGUAACUUGUGGGGCACCGAUUGCUCCUUUGUAUGACUACUUGAAUCAAUUGUUGUGAGAUGUUUAGUUGUUGCUCCAUGGUUGUAAUUGUACUAUUGUUGUUCAGUUCUAUGCUUGUAUAUGCAUUUUGGCUUGAGUUCACUUGUUUGUUCACAUGCCAGUACAAUUCAAAUGUACUGACGUCCCUUUUGCCGGGGGUGCAACAUUCGUGUUAUGAUUGUAGGUGGAUCCGUGGCAGGCACUCCAGUCCACCGUUCGUAGAUCCUCCUCCUCUCUAGCGACGGUAUUUGUGUUGGUGAGCCCUUUUCCUUCCGGGGCCUUGUGUGUCUCAUGCCACCGAUGUUGUUGUAUUUUGGAAGUCUUGUGUCUUUUUUUGUAAAGGUAUAGCCGGUGCCUUGUCGCCAGCAAGUGUUGUACAAUCUCUCUCUUAGAGGCUCCGUAGAUAGUGGUAUGCGGGUUAGAACUUAUGUAUGAAGGUGUAUGUUUUGGGCGCAGUAAACUUGUGUACCACGUUCCCUGUUAAUCAUAAUGCAUGAUUUGUAAAAGAUGUUCCCUGUUAAUCAUAAUGUGUGUUUAUAAAAGAGAAAUCAUAUGUUCUUUCAGUUUUAAAUAUGGUAUCAUUUGGCUAAUUAUCAUUGAAUAAUAUGGGGUAACGCGUGGGAAUAAUAAAGACACCCAGGUCCAUUCAAGUGGGGAUACUCGGUUGAGUGCUGGUCAUGCCCCGGAUUUGGGGCAUGACACCCUGUGGGCUUGAACUCCGAACCAAAUGUACCCAGAUUUUCAUGUAAAGACACCGGCUGCACGAUACCUUGCAAAGAUGCACCCAGACCCUUGCCCAGUACAAAACCAUUCUUCAAUAUUUCAUUUUCUACCAUUACGGUUGCAGAAGAUAGCUUUGGGCCUGGAAUAUAUUCCCCUUUCGGAACCUUCUCAACUGACACUGCUUCGGAUACCUGGUAAACCCAAGGCCCCUUAUCGUCUUCGACCUUAAUAAAGGGAUGAAUGUACCAUUGUAAGCACCUAAGUUCUUAUAACCAUGCACAACUAUUUCUUGUCUGUCCCACUCGAACUUUACCAUCUGGUGUAGAGAAGACGGGACUUCUUUGGCAACAUGUAUCCACGGCCUACCCAAUAGCAAAUUGUAAGAGACGGCUACAUCUAGUACCUGGAACUCCAUGGUAAAUUCAAUAUGUCCUAUUUUCAGUUCAAGCGCGAUAUCAUUAACAUAAUCUUUUCCCCCUCCGUCAAAACCUCGUACACAUAUAAUGUUCUUGUGGAUCCUUUUAGUAUCAAUUUUCAACUUGUGCAGAGUGGAUAAAGGGGAAAUGUUUGCACUCGAAUCAUUGUCAACCAGCACCAUCAUGACCACAGAAUCAUCGCAUUUUACUGUGAGGUAGAGAGGCCGAUUGUGUUCUGUACCCUCUAAGGGCAACUCAUCAUCCGAGAAGGUGAUCCUGUGCGCCUUGAAUAUCUUGUUAGCAAUCUUCUCCAAAUGGUUCUCUGUGAUCUAAGAGACACGAGCUUCAUUUAGAAUCUUCAUGAGGGCCUCGAGGUACUCGUCUAAAUGUAUCAACAAUGAUAGAAGUGAAAUCUGAGCGGGGAUGUUUCUCAAUUGUUCCACUAUAGAGUAAUCAUGCACCUUCAUUUUUCUCGAAAAAUGCUUCCGCCUCCUCUUCGGUGACUGGUUUCUUCACUAUUAUUGGAUUAUCUUUGAGUGGCUUAGGUUUCCUUAAUUCCUCUAGGCAAAGCAUCUCCCUGAAUGAGUAAAACCUCGGGCUUCAUUAACUUCCUCUUCCACUUCUUUCCUUUUAUAUGUUACUAUCACUCAUUUGUAAUUCCAUGGAACAGCUUUGGUGUUAUCUAGCGAUAGCUGGGUCACAGGUUUAAUGAUAAUAAGAGUCGUGCGAGCCCCGUCCACAAUUAUGACAUGCUUACUUUCCACCCCUAGAACAACCUUCGUUUUUCCUUGCUUUGCUUCAGCAUCAUAUAGAGACCCAUUCGCAACUAACACACUUGGUUGUAAGAUCGAUCUUGCUUAGCUUGUGAGUCAACCCUUCAACUUUCAAAGAUGUUGCAUUUGUAACAACUAGAGUUUUGACUAGGUUACUUUCACUGGCACGGAUCAUCACAAUGAACUUCGAAGGCUUCUCGAGCUUCCCAUCCUUAUACACUAUCUCAAUCAUAUGUGUUUUAGCAUGGGCUGGCAAUGGAUUUUGAUUGAUGUUGGGCGCUUUUGGGCGUUGAACCUCAAUCUAGUUUGUAUCGAUAAGCUCUUGGAUGGCGCUUUUCAAAUGUCAAAACUUUUCUGUGUCAUGUCCCGGAGCAUCAGAACAAUUUUGAAGGGGGAUUUGGUAAUUUUGACUUAAUCGGCCUUAGAACGCCCAAUUGUCUUAACCUUUGAAAUAGACUGGCGUAAGACUCUCCAAGCAGGGCGAAAGUUUAUUUUCACGACUACCUUUCCCUUUUGUACUCUGGCCUGGGUUAAAAGUUGGGACCAGUAGGGCUCCAGUAUGUUUGUGGAGGCAGAUAAGGAUUUUAUGGUCCUGGUGGACGCCAUUGCGGGCAAGGAGAGCUUGAGCAUUUGACUUUGCAUAGUGGACAUGGUAUUGGGGUAGCCUGACUAAAUACUAAGGGUCUGGUGGUGGGAAAUAGUGUUGGGGUGGAUUAUAUGGAGUUUGGGUGUAGGUUUGAGGUUGGAGUCGAGGCGGGGUGUGAGGCUGCGGUGAACCCCUUGGGCCAGGCCACGAUCCUGAGACAACCAUAGCAACAUCUUUUUUCUUCUUUUUCCUUAACACGCCCCCGGUGCCAUUCUGGAUCGCUUGUGUGGUUGCUUUGAUUGCAGAGUAACUCAUGAUCUUGCUCGAUUUGUGUGUGUCCUUUACCAUUCCUCCCAUCUUUACCACUUCAUUGAAAUACUUACCUAUGGACGAGACCAGAUGACCAAAGUAAGUAGGCUCCAAGGCCUGAAGAAAGCAAUCCACUGUUGAUACCCAAUUUUUCCCUAAGUAUUUUUUACACUCAAAAUACUUUCAAAAAACAUAUAUGUGCAUAUUAAGACUUUCAAAACUAAUUUAUUUUCUAUUUUAGCAAUGCAAAAUUUAAUAAUUAUUUCCAAAAUUAUCAUUUUGGUGAAUAAUUUAUUUAUUUCUCAUAUUUACAGCAAAAUAUAAUUAAGGUAAUUUUUGCAUUUUUUUUACAAAUUUAUUUGGUAUUUUUAAAUCUAAUUUUCAUAUAAUUGUAAUUAUAGCCUAUGUUUCGAUUAAUAGUAUUUUUAUAAUUGUAAAAUUAGUUUCAGUAUUUUUUAUUAAUAUUUAUGUAUUAUUAAUGGUUUUAGUACUUUUAAUUUUCUUUUAAAAUUAUUUUUAUUAUUUUUAUAAAAUUAAAAGGGAGAAAAUGGCUAUUUAAUACUUAGCCUAUUAUUAUUGCAAUUUAGCCCCAAUUGUAACCCAUCCCAUCAGAUUUUUAAUUAACCAAAUUAACCCAAUACCUAAUACAAAUCUACCCAACCCAAUCACCGAAUAACGCGGCCUAACUCUGAUUUAAUCUAAGUCAUUGAUCAAAUGAGAUCAACUGCCCAAAUUUCAUUUCCUUAAUUAAAUUCUAACUACCCCCUUGACCCCUCAUUUUAUCGAGAUCGGUCUCUCUCUCUUGGUCCCUUCCUCUCCUCCUUCUCUCUAGAACCUUUCGGUUAUUCUCCGAUGGCCCUCACCGUCUAUCCUGCCACCUCCAGCCUCACCUCUUUCUACCACCAGCUGUUGUGAAACAUUAUAUCACUGAUUCCCUCUAUCCUUGAGACCCCAGAAUCCUUCACCAUACGAUAUGGCCACUGAAAGCUUUUCCUCGUUUAUCUUGGCCUUUCUCCGAUGGGUUUUGGUCCGAUGGUGCUAUGAACACCAUUAUUGCUGAGUUUCACGGCCAGGUUUUGCUUACUUGUCACAUGUUUCUUAUGAAACCCUAAUCUUACCCAGACCUCUUAAAUCUCUGUAUUUUUAAUGAUUUUAACCCACGCCUUUAUGUUUUACACUACUCCCUACUCGAUCUUUACGACUGCCCAAUUUUUAAACAUUUUGUUCUUUUUUUAAAAAAACUAGGGUUUUUGAACCCCUUUUCGAAAUCACUAUAUCUUCUUACUAUAUGUUUGUGUUUGUAUUAUUUGCUUGUUUUUGUGAUCAUAUGGGUUAUUCUCUAAGUUCUAGCUUUAAUUUUGUUGUUGGGUUUCAAACCUUCUACCUACUGUAUGAUAUCUUGCUUAGGGUUCUCUGAUUUUUAUGCCUAUUGUGUUUAAUAGGUCUAGUUAUUCAUUGUUUACCAAAUAUUCUGCUUAUUCUGUGUACUUUUGGAAUCCCUAAUUUUGUAUAUGUUUUCCUUAGAAGUUUUCCACUGAUUUGGAAUCACUUCUUUAUUUGUGAGAUGAUUUCAUUACUUAGUACUCAUUUCCUGUGAUUCUCAAUCUCAUCCGUGAUUCUUUGAACUAAUUUUUCAAAAAUCAAUUUGUAAUCUGCCUGUUUAUGUGCACAAUAUGUUGUUAUUAUACUUUCCUUAUUUGAAAAUAUUCUGUACUUAGUCCCUAUUACAUGCAUCAUGCAUUUACUAUUCCGAUUAUGGAAAUAUCAGUCUUGCAAAUAAUUAUUUUCCUUAUUUGAUACAACUUGUAUCUGUUUGAACUAUGACUCCCUAAUUGAAGGGAGUCCGGGUCUUUAUUUGAUUCUGCUUGGUAUUAUUUCUAUAGUUAUAAUUAGUCAAUACUUGUUACCUUAUUUUUCACUUAUAUGUAAAGCUGUAAAUACCCUAAUGAUUUCAUUAACAAGACACGAACAAUCACACUAUUAUGAAGUCUCUCUUACACACACAAGCAUACUCAUUGUUCUCUCUUACUUUCCUACACAUUCUCUCUCGCUUCUCCUAUUGACUACUGGUUACCUAGUCGGCUGAAAGCCAAGACUGAAUAACUUAUUACUCUACUAUUUUAUUGCUUUAUACAUUGCUUCUCACUUGGUCUGCAAAUUACUGCUCUACUUCUCUCCACACUACUCCUCUAUAUUAUCUCACUCUUGACUGGUAUGUCUUCUAUUUGAUUUAAGCUUUCAAAACAACAUGUUUUAUGCAUAUUGCACUUUCUCUUAUUUCUUUUAUGCUUCUACUUAUGGUUCUGUUGUUUUCAUUGCAAUUAGCAUGCCUCUUUGCUAGUUUAUUGAUAUGAUCACUUUUCCCUUAAUUCAGGAUGUCUACUACUUCCCGUACUUGUUUAAUAUAGUUCUUCCUUACCCCUAUUAUCAGCAUAUAUUCACAAUUAUUCCUAGAUACCAAGUAAUCCUGAACCUCUUCUAUGAACACUUUGAUAUUAAAUGUGUUGUGACUGUUUAAGUUGUGAAAUGUUUUUUCUCUGAUGUCUACAUAUGUGCAAUUAUGCUCUUACAUGUGAACUACUUGUUCCAAUUUCCCCUUUCCCCUGUUUGUACUGAACUAUGUGUGAUAUUCUAGUCCUGAGAUUGUCCUACUCACCUUCUUACAAAACUGUCACACUCUUCUAUUGUUUUUCUUUCAAAAAACUUGAUUCUAUAUGGAUCAUUUUUAAACUGUUUUUCUCAACUCAAUUCCUUUAAAACUUUAUCACGCAAUCUCACUAUUCUUAGAGAUUAGGUUCUACCCCUUCGUAUAAACAUUGCUUUGGGUACCUCUGAGUACUCACUGAACUUUGAUGCACAAGGUUGGUAAUUCCACACUGCACUUGUUCAACAUUUUUGGUAAGUGUUUGGGUGCAGGUAUAUGUGAGGGACCCAAUGGGGACUUAGGGAACUUUGCCGUACCCAAACCAUGGCAAAGGCAUUGAAACUCAAAAGGAGUGAGGUUGGAAGAUUGGGCCUGGUUGAAGGAUCCAUAUAGAAUAACUUCUUAUUUUGUUCUUUAUUACUGUAAUUCGGCUAUUCUUGAUUUGUAACAAUUUGUAAAUGAAUGUUUGGGGUUGAUUAGUGAAUAUGGGAGGGGUUAUACAUGCUUAGUUUAAGUAAUGGGUAGAAAAUAUGCUUAUAGGGAUUUAAUUAUAUAUUUGCGCAAUAGAUAUCAUUUAUAGGACAUGCAUCUCAUAUAUUAGUAAUCGUGUUUUAGGUUCUUUACUUUUUUCAUGUUAUUAUACUCAUUUUGUAAUCACGAUUAGUUAAAUAACUGUUAUAAAAUUACUGUUGCAUUCUCACUAGCAUUUAGAGACCAUGUUUUAGGAGCUUUUAUGUGUAUUAGACAUCAUGUUACUUAGGAUUUUUAUUUUGUUUGAGUUGCAUUUGUUGAACGACUCACCAGUAUGUUUAAUCUAAUAGUACAAGCUUGGUUAACUGAAUCUUUUUAAAACUGGAAUUAAAUAUGCAUGUUCACCCCCUUUAAGGUAAUUAGGCAAUACAUACGCCGCCUAGGAAAACAUUAGGCCUAAUAAGAAUCGAUUAAUCAUAUUUUUAUCAGUUUAAGAUUAACUAGCCUUUUUUUUGGAACUUUGCCGCUCUCAUUCUUGUUGUGAUUCUCUGAAGUUCACUCUUUUUACCGAAAAUCUAUCUCUAUCUGGAAACAAGUUUUGAACCAUGUAUCUACUCUCACUGAUUUUUUGAUUCUUGCUCUAUUAAGUCUUCAAACUACUGGGUUACCUUUUCUGCCCAGAAUCGUGUUGUUUUGAUACUUGUCUAUUUAAACUACUGUAUUUUCAAGUCUCUGCCCUUUUCAAACCAUGUUUUAAUGGUUCCCUUAUCUUUUACUUACUCAAAUGCUGUCACUUAUUCCUUUUCUUUAAAAACUCCCAUCUUUGAGACCAUAAAUGUGUUAGAGACAUGCUAAUUACAUGUUUACUUGUGGAGGGAUCUGUGAGCCUUUAUUUGCCUUUGUAUGUUCCCUUUUAUAUGUAUUCCCACUUGUUAUGUAUGUUGCCUAGCAUUAUGUCCUUUAAAACUAAGGGUCCAGCCUAGUCCUUACCCUGUAGGAAUAGUGUUCCUAAAUACCCUCUAGGACUUAUAGUAUGGACACGUAAUAGCACGAAAUAAGCUUUCGUGACCCCAUCACGCGUUUAAAUAACCUUUACGGGAUGGGAAGGGUAAAAUAUGGAUAUGAUGACUGAUGCACUAAUAUCUCGUGUAUCCCCUGUUCUGAGGAGUGAUUACUGAUUAUUGCAUUGAUGUGAUCCAUAUUAUUCAGAAACCUAGGACCCCUCCCCUUUGUUUAUUUUUAGAACUUGUCUAGAAUCAUUUCUUCAAAAUUUCUGCCUUCUUUAUUUCCAAACUCUCAACCUAUUUGCAAAAUGUAUGUAAAAAAACCCCUUGUUUGAACCUUGAUUUUUUACUUGUAAAGUCACAAUUGUAACAUGGUCGGGGCCACACUAGUGGAUCUUGAGGGGUGCCUAACACCUUCCCCUCGAGAUAAUUUCUAGCCCUUAUNNNNNNNNNNNNNNNNNNNNNNNNNNNNNNNNNNNNNNNNNNNNNNNNNNNNNNNNNNNNNNNNNNNNNNNNNNNNNNNNNNNNNNNNNNNNNNNNNNNNNNNNNNNNNNNNNNNNNNNNNNNNNNNNNNNNNNNNNNNNNNNNNNNNNNNNNNNNNNNNNNNNNNNNNNNNNNNNNNNNNNNNNNNNNNNNNNNNNNNNNNNNNNNNNNNNNNNNNNNNNNNNNNNNNNNNNNNNNNNNNNNNNNNNNNNNNNNNNNNNNNNNNNNNNNNNNNNNNNNNNNNNNNNNNNNNNNNNNNNNNNNNNNNNNNNNNNNNNNNNNNNNNNNNNNNNNNNNGGGGUGCCUAACACCUUCCCAUCGAGAUAAUUUCUAGCCCUUAUCCGAAUUCUGGUUUCUUCAACUCAAACCAUUUUCAAAGUGUCCUAAUGCACUAUAAUCAUUAGGUGGCGAUUUUCCAAUUCCAAAACCCAAUUCUCAAAAAGGAACGAGUUGUCCUCAUAAAUGUCACAAGCCCGAUUUCGCUUUAGAAAAAGGGGGUGCAACAUCCACCAUUUCAUCUUCCUUCAUUGUAGGGUCGACUCAUGCCGCCUGCUCUCUCCACUGGAAACCAUACUCCCUGAAGCUUUCACCAGGCUAUUUCUCUAUCUUAGUUAAGGAUAGGUAAUCUGGGACAAUUUCUACAUUGGAUUGGAAAUGCCAAGAGAAAGCUUGAGCCAAGUCAUUCCAAGUGUACCACCUGUUGUUGUCCUGGCGGGUGUAAUAUUCCAAUGUUGCACUACUCAAACUUUGACUAAAAUAUGUCAUCAACAAUUCAUCUUUCGCCCCAGCGCAAAUUCCUCUUAAGUGGGCCACGGGGUCUCCAUGCCUAUCGUACAAGUAAUUUUGAAUCCGGCAGGUAGCUGGACAUCAGGAAACAAACACAGAUCCUUAUAGGACAUACUCAAUUGGCCACCUAACCCUUGCAUAUUUCUCAGUGACUGCUCCAAGCUAAUUACCUUCCUAAAUAUCUCAUCGUGUUCUGUGUUUUUGAUCGGCUUCUCAGUGUCAAUAGGGAGUUCAAAGUGAUGGGUGUAGGAGUAGUGAUCCGGGACUUUGAAGGUGGGCUCUGGGGCAUAGUACUAGUUAUCUUGGGCUUGGAAUGACAGCUCACUAGAAUAUCGAUGUAGGGUAGCUUGCGGAGCUGCUACAAAGAUAGGGGUAACUAACAGAGUAAUGUAUGCGGUUGUUUUGGCUAGUAGAGCUUGGAUGGUUUGGGAAGUGGUGUCAUGAUAGUAAUGGUAAGGGGUGAAGCUUGGGGCGUGUUGUGGGGAUAUAUCAAUGAUGGGGGGCUCUUUAGAAUGAGCUAGUGGUGGGAUGAAAGCAGGGUUGGCAGGGUAUGAUGGUGGAGGAUGCCCCUUCAUCCAUGCCUCAUAUAUUUCGGCCAUUUGAUGUUUCAGCUUAUGUACCUCUUCUUUCAAACCGGACUCAUAUUCCUCCAUUUCUCUCGGCGGGUCAAUAACACUCGAGUCCAAUUCUUUGCUAGUCAUGAUCGCCUCUUAUUUAGACAUGGUAUUAUAUGAAUGGCUUUCCGGAAUGCUGAAAAAACUAACCGCCUUCCUGAACUCAAGGACAACAACAAACUUGUUAGUGUUUAAGGGUUUAACAGAUAGGCAAUCACAUGUUUCGGAUGAAAUGCACCUAAACAAUUAAAUGCUUCUAUCGUGUAUUUGAACAGUUGCAUGCGUCAUUCCGGCUUUAACUAACACUCUUCAUUGUGCAUUCUCUCUUCCCUCUUUUUCUUUUCUUUUUCACUACUGCCCUUUUCAGUCACUGUUGAAUUUCCCACUCGGUUCUUGUCACUCCCCUUUUAUUUUUGCGCUCGUUUUUGUUCUCUUGUUCUUCCAUCCUCUCUCUCUCUCUCCACUUGAUUUUUUUUUCUUUUUUCUUUUUAUGGUUAUGAUCAAAUAUUACGGGGAUUAUCUAUGUAUCAUGACACCGCAUGAAUCGGAUCAUUACGUAGUUCAGGAGAUGAAUGUGAAAUAAAAUAAGAAAGCAAUAUUUUGGGUUUUUUCAACUUUUCAUUAAAUAAAAACAUUAUGAAUUUCCUUUAUUACAACGACUCUAUCAUACACGCCCAAACACUGAAAAACAAUACAAGACUCAAAAUGGACUAACAAACUCUAAAAGAAACUGAAAUACAGACUUGAAAAUAAAAUCAUGAAUACAUAAGUGCCUCCAACAUUGCUCCAGGGGUCCCCGGGACAUCAGUCGGUCUUGCCGCGAGCAUACGUGCCAUAUCUUUUUGGAGGCGAUAUAGGUCGUCCAUUAUCUUACGGACAAAAAUCAUCACUGAAACAAAGAAUAAGGACCUAUUAAUGUCCUCGUACGCAUUGCACUUCAUCACAAUAUAGUCAGCAAUUCUUCUAAUCCUCUCCCUAACGACGCCUUUCUCUUGGAGGAGACGUCCAAUUUGUUGAGAUAUGGCCUCCAAAACUUGCUUGUCCGUAUGAUUUUGAUUUUGUAAGGUCCUCUUUUGGUUGUGACAUCAAUGCAUAGCAUUGCUCCCUUUCUGCUUUGAAGUUCUUUGCUUGCUUGGUCAUUUCAUUCUCAAGGGUAUUGAUCUGUUUCUUCAGACCCGUGAUUCGUUUGUCAUACCUUUCCUUCAACUGGUGAACUAAACUUGCCCGUUCCUCUACAUUCUUAGCCAACUUUGCCUUGGUUAUUUCCAAUUCACCUUCGGCUCUCUACGAAUCAACCCCAUAAUACCACACUUUCCGUCUAAGGCUGUUGAUGAGCUUCUCAUCUUUUUCACUUCUGGCAGGGUUCUCAGCUGUUAUUUUCAUCUUCUGGAUCUGGGCUCGGGUGGCUUCAUUUUCUUGGGCCAACCUCUUCUUGUCACCUUCAUUCACAGUGGCUUGCAACCUACUAUCAAAUUUAAGAUCUCUGACUUGCGCUUCCAACUUGCUUAUGGUGGCCCUGUAAUCAUUUUCUUUUGUUAUCCAAUCCCAUUAUUCUUGUGAUGCUUCAACAAAUUCUUAGAGGUGUUCUUUUAGCUGGUCUUCCAAACUCAACAUUCCUUUUAUACCAGGCAAGGAACCGGGCGAGACUUCACCCUUGGAUAAAUCACUUACUCGGGUGUUCGCCAUCAAGUAUUGGCACUCACUCCAGAUCUAGCGAACCACUCUUUCAUGAAAUUGGCCAUCAGAGCGGAUCUCGAUUGCAUGAAUGCUAAGGUAUUCGUCCUUUGGGAUUAUUUGGCAUCUUCCUAGCUAUAUUAAAACCCAGUAUGGGGAAUAUGGUUGGAUACUUCUGAGACCCAUUAGGAGGAAGCGAGGAACGGUGAUAGGCAUGUAUAUAAUCUCAUUAACAAGAAGCGAACCCAACGUCCAUUCUAUCUGAUCUGCAAGUUAUGGAACGAAGGCGAGAUAUCCAAUCUAUGACCCUUUAUGGCAUCUAGAACCUAUUGACCCUGUAUUGAACUCCUCUAUGCAGCUUUUCCCUAUAGAUCCAUAGUUCAUGUGCUGAGGACUAUGACACAGAUGCUCAGUCAUUCAUAUUUGUUGUAACCAGUUGCACCCUUCAAAAAAAUCUAGUCCGGAUUUGCAAGCUGUGACAAAUCGGAAUAUUUCAGAUACUAUCAUAGGUGUGAGGGUGCUCUUGGCAUUGGUAAUCAAAAUAUUGACAACUCCAGCUACCCUUAGAUCAAUAUUCUCAUCCUUCCUGGGAAAUACUAGAACAUCCAAGAAUGCCACCAUGAAAGCAAAAUAUCUAUGCUCUUCCUACUUUGGUCAGUUCCUUUUACUAUAGAUUAUGCUUUCCGGAUUUUCAAAUCCCCUAGUAUAUCUAUACCGCUGUAUAUGAAGUGUAGAGUGGAAAAGCCAUUUGCCAAAUCUGCAUACUAGACAUGCCUGCUGAUUUUUAAGUAAUUCUUGAAACUUGUGAGGAGUGACGACCCUUUGAGCGGCCAGGUAUUUAUGUCUUAGACCCUCCGUACUCCCAACAUAACUCGCUAUCCUCCAAAGUAGGUGUAAUUUUGAACUCUGAGAAAUGUAGAAAGUUGUGAGCUGGAUUCCAAAAUGUCAUCAGUGCUUUUAUUAUAUCACCCCUAGGCUUAAUCUUUAAGAGCCCGGUGAGUUCCCCAAGGUAAUAGUUGAACAUGUCUCGUUCUUUCUCACCCAAAUCUUCCCACCACAUGUGAAGUGACAACGGAUCUUAGUCAUGACCUUCAUUGGUAAAUUUUAACUCGUGCUCAUUCCGCACAUUUAGAUUAGGGUGAUUGAUUUAAAAACAAAUUGUUAUUUAAAAUUGAUAAAAAGGGUUUAUCUUGUAAAACUCAAAUAAAUCAAUGCUACUUUUGCGAAUUCAUCCCUUCAGCACUUCGAAAUGGAAGAUUUUAGGGUUGUGUUCGCUAAAUGGCCAAAAUUGACAAAGAAAUCGUCGGUGGCUAUUCUUGAAAAGACAGCCUUCCUGUGCCUCGAUUGGACAUUUGGCAAUUUAGACAAAAAUGGCAUCACCCACUUUAUUUAUGACAAAAAAAUGAUGACACUUAAUAUUUUGGGUUUUUUUUCAAAAACAAGGCUGGACCCGAUGAUGAUUACCUACAUAUCCCACAUCUGGUGAGAAUCCAACAUGUAGUUUGGUUAUUUUUUACGCAACAGAAAAAUAUAAACACUUUGAAAUAACCUUUCUCCUUUUUUUUCGGCAGAGUUUCAGGAUAUUUUGGACGCCAGAUUUUGGGAAACAGAUGAAAUUCUCUGUCAUACCCUGAACAUGGUUUUUCUUUUUAUUUUUCUUACCUAAUCUAGAAGCCGGUCAACAUGUAAGCCGAAACAAACAAAUGUACAUGUAGCACGUAAAAUGCAUCAGGUUGGUCUUUUUAUUUUCGAGUACACCUGUCCUAGACGGACCCUACCCCUGUGUUGAGUCCCAAAGUACGAUGCAAAAAAAUCGUUCCUACUAGAGAUCCGACAUGAGGUUAUGUUAUUCUAGGUUUUAAUCUUAGGUGUAUUGUUCUAGACUUGGCUUACCCGAACAGACAACUUGAGCCGAGGGGGGCUAUGUACGGGGAAUCAAAAGGCCAUCCGGCUUUGUAACUUAUCCGAACCUCAUUCUAAAUUAGGGUAUGACACUAACAGAAAAGAAUUCACGCAUGCGUGCACUUCCAAGAAGAUUAGAAGAGUAUGUUUUCGCAGCAGUUUAUAUACAGUUCAAAUAAUAUCAAAGCGAUAAAAAUGGUAUUUAGCACAUUAGGCCCAAACAUGCAAUAAAAAUCAGAUAAUAAAUAAAAGACAAAUAUAACAAUUAUUAUAAGCUCUAACUCUUAAACCCUAAACCAGAGAUUUUGGGUUCGAUCCCAGCAGAGUCACUAGAGUUGUUACACCUCCUUUUUCUACCUGAAAGGAGGUAUAAGGGAGUCUUUCCAAUUAAAGUAACAAUAAUCGAAAUGUGAUUUAUUACUUCAAAUUCAGAUAUACCACCUUGGAUAAUUUGUGGUGUCCCAAGUCACUGGUUUAAAAUUCCAAAUAGAGGAAGUUUGACUCUGUUUUGCAAUCUUCAAAACACAAUAAUUUGAGUAAGAAAUUCUGUUAACCCGGAAGAAGGUGUUAAGCAUUCCCGAGUUCCGUAAUUUUAGCACAGUCGCUCAACCAUUAUUAUUGGCCUAAUUAUCUGAUAUAUUACAUGUUUUAUACCAAUUGUUCAUUUUUAUCCGUUACCCUCUUUUUCUCUUUUUAUUUAUUAUUUAUCGUGAAUGGGGGAGAAUUUUCCAAUUUUUUUUUCGAGUUCCUUAAAAAUGGGCUCAAAAAAGGAAGGGCGUUUUCGNNNNNNNNNNNNNNNNNNNNNNNNNNNNNNNNNNNNNNNNNNNNNNNNNNNNNNNNNNNNNNNNNNNNNNNNNNNNNNNNNNNNNNNNNNNNNNNNNNNNNNNNNNNNNNNNNNNNNNNNNNNNNNNNNNNNNNNNNNNNNNNNNNNNNNNNNNNNNNNNNNNNNNNNNNNNNNNNNNNNNNNNNNNNNNNNNNNNNNNNNNNNNNNNNNNNNNNNNNNNNNNNNNNNNNNNNNNNNNNNNNNNNNNNNNNNNNNNNNNNNNNNNNNNNNNNNNNNNNNNNNNNNNNNNNNNNNNNNNNNNNNNNNNNNNNNNNNNNNNNNNNNNNNNNNNNNNNNNNNNNNNNNNNNNNNNNNNNNNNNNNNNNNNNNNNNNNNNNNNNNNNNNNNNNNNNNNNNNNNNNNNNNNNNNNNNNNUGUCGGUGAGGUCGAUCGAAAAAGUGAAAGCUUGAUGAAACCCCGUCUUUUUUAGCAUCAACCACUUUUUCCCAUCCCAAGUAAUGUUAUGAACUUUCACUCCCUAUCUAUACUAGAACCUCGAGCCUCUUUCUUCUUUCUGUGCAGCAGGCGUUGGAUAAGUUUGUUUUGUAGCACAGGGGGAUGGUAGAAAACGAACGGCGGCGUAAAGUUGAUGAGCAGGGAAGAUGUCUUUUUUUAAUUACUUAUGGAACUAUUUCUGGAACAGGUCACGAUUGUCGUACACUUAUUUGUAUGGUACAUAUUGCGAAUUAUGUCAGAGGGAUCGUACCCAAGAUUUAUAAUACGUUUAAUUUAUUAACAUUAUUAGUUGUUACGGCCGGGUCACAUAAAUAUACCUCCGAAUGUGGAAAUUAUGUAUCAUAACUACGGCACACGGAAUCAUACCCGUAACUAUGAUAGUUUUAUUAUAACAUGCCUAAAGAAAAACUACGAAGAUUAAUGUUUAAAGUAAGUUUUGAAUUUAAUGUAGAGAGCUACUACUUGUGAGUCUGAAUUAGAAUAAUAUGCAAAAAUUAUUUUAAAGAACUCGGGCGAAUGACAGGCAUGUUAUCUAAGGAAAAUCUUCGAGGGAGAUACAGCUUACGGACUGGGCUCGAAAUUGAGCCCAAGAUUAAAGAUGAAUAUAUCAAGCCUGCCUAAUGUUUGUUGGGCAGCUUUGAUUGGGCCAAUACCAAGCCCAACUUUUAAUGAAAAAACCUUCAAUAUUAGAACUCUUUUAUUAUCUGAAUAAGAAAAAAAUUAGUGAGUAAAGAAAUGCUGAAGAUAAUUGGGCUCGCCAUUGAACCCAAAACGUUAAAGAAAUCAAGAGCAGAACCUGUUGAGCCUGGUUCCAACCAGGCUGUCUCAUAUGGUCCAGAACCAGGCCUAAUUGCUCCCAGCAGAAGAGCCUUCGAUAUUAAGGCCUAUUUGAGACUUAACUUCCUCUAAAUCACAUGUAAUGCAAAAUAUUGUAAAAAUUCUAAAUCAUGGGCUGAUCAACCAUAUUAUGAGUCUAAUUCAUCACCAUACCAUUAGUGACAGCACUAUACAAUUACUUAACCCAGACUACUCAUUAGAUACAUUAAAACAUGGCGUGUAAUUACUUCACUUGCAACUGGAGACUUGAAUACCAUCUAACAAUUUAACAUUGAAUAUCGUUUGAAAUUGUAUAUGCUUGGACCCCAAUUUGUUUUAGAUACACCAUUGCAACAUUCUAAUCAACAGAUCCUUUAGUGAACACUUUAAAGGAAAUGAACUAAUGACCUUAUACAUUCAUCCUGGACUUUCAAAUGAUUCCAACACAUGGAGGCUAAAUAUUGACACCUUUCGGUACUACUUGUCCCAACAUUAUAUACAUCAGAAUCUAUCUAUAUAGGAAUUUUGUAUCUCGUGGCAGUAAUGAUCCAUUGAUUAUCAAACUAUAACUAAACAAAAAUGAGUGAAGCUAAAUCUAUGAAAUAAUAGACAAACCUAAUCUAUGUUAUCAAACAAACAUUAUAAUGACUACAUGUUUCAGCAGUAGCCUUCAGAAAGAUGUCAUAUCUUCCAUGUACAACCCAUAAUUUAAUUUUAGCUUUGAAUCCCAUGGGUAUAACCAUGGUAGAGAUCAAAUCCACCAAGAGCAUGGCUUCACACAUAUUAGCAGUAAUAGGACCAUACAAACUCAGCCAACUAACACAAAGAGGUCGGACCAGGAUGGCAAAACAGUAUGCAUAGUCUAAAUCUAACAGGUAACAAGUACUAUGUUUAACGCGCUAGCAAACAGGUUUAUCAGGGAAUAGAAAAACAUUGAAUUAACAAAGAAUCACAUUAUUAAAAGAAAACUUAAGUGUUGUUCCAUUUAUGGGUACGAACCUCAUUAUAUAAACAAAAUAGCAUUAAACCCGCGUCUAAAUCAGAUUUGCAAACAUUUAAAUAAUAGGUGAGACAUGUACCUAGUUGUUUAAGAAUUUUCCAAAUGCUAAGCAGAAUAGUAGUUCAUUAGCAAAGAGAUAGCAGCACCAAAGAACAAUCAGCUUCAAAAUAAGACCACACUUCAAUUUUGGAGCCCAGAACCUCAAUGGAGACUAGUUAAGACUUAGUGAAGGAAAAAUAAAAAAAAAACAAACUGAUGAAGGAAACUGGAUUUUCAGGAUUUUUUCAGAUAUUUGUUUUCGUGUCUAAUGAUGGAAGAAAUAUUCUCUUUAAAGGUAAAAAAUUCCAUAUGCUGAAAAGGAUAAGGUAUUUAUUUCCUUAAGCCACAAAAAGCAUCUUUCAACAUAAUUUGGAUACCUGGCAGCCCCUAAUUGGCUUCAGUAUUUUGUACUGGCCAAAUAGGGCCAACUGCCUAUAUUCUAGAACCUUCUCACAUGGCAUUAUCUGAAUUUCCUAUUUCAUACCCUUCCAAUGACCGCUCCCCCCCCCCUUUAAGUUUUCUUUUUGUUCAAUUUACCCCUAUAAGUUCCAAUCUAUUUACAGACUAGGACCAACAAAUCAAGGCAAGAAUCAGUAUGAAUCAAAAAUCAAAGAAACAAAACAUUAUGCAAUUAAAACUUUAGACUAACCCUAGCCCCAAAUAAAUUUAGCAUGAACCAACUUUGAAAUGAGGCAGAAACAAAAAUCAUCAAGAACCCACUACCAAAACGACUCUUAACAAAGGAAAGUUGUUAAAAGUCAUUAAAUAGACUGUUCAGAUGAUGACUUAAUAAAUUUGAAUAAGACAAACAAAACACACACUGUAAUUAACCUAACACAAAACCAUGAAAGCUAAGCAGGAAAAGGAUUAUGAAGGGAAAAAAAAAAAGAGAAAUUACCCCAAGCAAACAUAUCUUGAUUUCAACUAGAUCAAUCACAAACUGGAAUAAAUUUCAACGAUUUCUCUCAUCAAGAACAAUCGAUUGAUAUAGGUCUUGGGUUCAAAUGGACCGAAACUGAACGCGAAAUUAGAGACUGACCAAAAAACUAGGUUUUUGACUUUUAGAUCUAAAAUUUGGGAAUUUUUGGGUUCAUUCAAAGGACAUGGUUACGAGAUAUAGAAAGAGGGAAAGAUGGUGGUUGCAUGGUUUUAAUUUCAGUAGGUUUGGAGACGGUUGGAUGGUGGCCGCCAUCGGGGUUUGCAGAGAAUAUUAGGGCGGAUAGGGUUAGGUUAAAGGUGAGAGGGAGAUGAUAAUGCGGGUCUCUAGGGUUUGGGGGAGGGAUUUGGACACUUAUAUUGGAAUUGGGGAGUGAGUUCCCAACCGUUGGAUCAUUGAAUAUCAACGAUUGGAAUUUAAACGGGUUAACGAUGUUGUUUGGUCUAUUGGGGGUGUAUGGACCGGGUAAAGGAUUGAGCUGGGU